CUCGGCUUUGUCCCCACAGCUGUGCCAUCAGCAUCUGCUGGCGACGGAUCUGUGUCAUGAGCUGCAGGGUCUCAGCACCUCGCUGACACACUGCAGGGGGAGCCGCCCCCCAUCCCGGCACACGGGGCAAAGCGUCCCCACCCCUGGGGGUGCUGCUCUGCGAGGAGAGGCCGCCCGUCAGCCUGCAGCUCCGCGUCCCUCAUUGGUAUUCUGUUCCCGCUCGGUGGCAGCCGGCAGGAUGGGAGCGGAGUGACAGCGGUGACAGGUCCCUCGGAGAUGGCAGCAGAGCAGACCCAAAGGCUGUGAGCAGAUCCAAGCCCUCCUCAUCUGCACUCCCGAUGGCCUCGAAGGGGUUAACUCACACCCCGCAGCCUUCAUGC
rnacentral:lncRNA from 1 species